UACUCCUGACUGACCGAUAGUGAACCAGUACCGUGAGGGAAAGGCGAAAAGAACCCCUGUGAGGGGAGUGAAAUAGAUCCUGAAACCGUGUACGUACAAGCAGUGGGAGCGGUCCUUGAGACCGUGACUGCGUACCUUUUGUAUAAUGGGUCAGCGACUUAAUUUCAGUAGCAAGCUUAACCGUUUAGGGGAGGCGUAGGGAAACCGAGUCUUAAUAGGGCGUAUAGUUGCUGGGAUUAGACCCGAAACCGAGCGAUCUAUCCAUGGGCAGGUUGAAGGUUGAGUAACAUCAACUGGAGGACCGAACCGACUACCGUUGAAAAGUUAGCGGAUGACCUGUGGAUCGGAGUGAAAGGCUAAUCAAGCUCGGAGAUAGCUGGUUCUCCUCGAAAGCUAUUUAGGUAGCGCCUCGUGUCUCACCAUUGGGGGUAGAGCACUGUUUCGGCUAGGGGGUCAUCCCGACUUACCAACCCGAUGCAAACUCCGAAUACCAAUGAGUGCAAUCACGGGAGACACACGGCGGGUGCUAACGUCCGUCGUGAAAAGGGAAACAACCCAGACCGCCAGCUAAGGUCCCCAAGUUCUAGUUAAGUGGGAAACGAUGUGGGAAGGCUCAGACAGCUAGGAGGUUGGCUUAGAAGCAGCCACCCUUUAAAGAAAGCGUAAUAGCUCACUAGUCGAGUCGGCCUGCGCGGAAGAUAUAACGGGGCUAAAACUAGACACCGAAGCUGCGGAUGCCAUUUAUGGCAUGGUAGAGGAGCGUUCUGUAAGCCGUUGAAGCGGAAGCCGGGAGGCACCGUGGAGGUAUCAGAAGUGCGAAUGCUGACAUGAGUAACGAUAAGGGAGGUGAAAAACCUCCCCGCCGGAAGACCAAGGGUUCCUGUCCAACGCUAUUCGAGGCAGGGUGAGUCGGCCCCUAAGGCGAGGCAGAGAUGCGUAGUCGAUGGGAAACGGGUUAAUAUUCCCGUACUGGUUAUAACUGCGAUGGAGGGACGGAGAAGGCUAGGCAAGCGCGGCGUUGGUUGUCCGCGUUUAAGGUGGUAGGUUGAUGACUUAGGUAAAUCCGGGUUGUCAUAAGACCGAGAACUGAUGACGAGGUCCCUUGAGGACUGAAGUUGUUGAUGCCAUGCUUCCAGGAAAAGCUUCUAAGCUUCAGGUUAUAACGAACCGUACCCCAAACCGACACAGGUGGUCAGGUAGAGAAUACUAAGGCGCAUGAGAGAACUCGGGUGAAGGAACUAGGCAAAAUGGUGCCGUAACUUCGGGAGAAGGCACGCUGCUGGCGGUGACGAGCUUUACGCUCAGAGCUACUGGCAGUCGAAGAUACCAGGUGGCUGCGACUGUUUAUUAAAAACAUAGCACUGUGCAAACACGAAAGUGGACGUAUACGGUGUGACGCCUGCCCGGUGCUGGAAGGUUAAUUGAUGGGGUUAGCGUAAGCGAAGCUCUUGAUCGAAGCCCCAGUAAACGGCGGCCGUAACUAUAACGGUCCUAAGGUAGCGAAAUUCCUUGUCGGGUAAGUUCCGACCU
rnacentral:rRNA from 1 species